rnacentral:tRNA from 1 species
GGAUCCUUAGCUCAGUCGGUUAGAGCCCCCGACUCAUAAUCGGGUUGUCCACGGUUCGAGCCCGUGAGGAUCCACCA